ACACGAAUACAUUUUUAGACUGAUGGGCUAAAGCAGCGUGAAACCCCGCCGAGACAUGCAGAAAUUGAAGUAUUUCGGAUUGAUCAUUUACCUUGUUCUAACUGUGCACUCUGUGAACGCGGGACUGCUGUCUUAUGGCAUUUGCCAAUCGGGUUGUAAUGCCCUGGCAGUUCCGUGUUAUGCUGCAGGAGGCUUCACCUUUGGUACAAUAGGAGGAAUAGGAGCUCCGGCCGCUGUUGCGUCAUGCAACAGGGGCCUAGGAAAUUGCAUGUCGGCAUGUUGGAAAUCAUUAUAUUCAUGGAGCCUUUGACCCGCACAAGAUAUCUUUAAGAUAUCAAAUAAAUGUCAAUGUAACACUGAUGAAGCCUU